AUACAUAGGUUACACAUAUAAAAC
rnacentral:siRNA from 1 species